CCAGGUGUGGAGUGGAGAGACAGCGAGGCCGACUCGGAGCUCACUCUCACAGACACGGACACAGAGUCCGUGCGAGCGGCGAGCACAGAGCGGCGGAGGAGGCGGGGCCAGGCGGGGACCUAUCCACCAAUCAGAGGCGUGCACAGUGACCUCCCGGAGCGAGAGGACGGCGAGGGGGAGGAGACGCCGGCCUUCAGCCACUGGGGACCGCCCGAAGGUACCACGCAUGACUCAUAACAAGAAGAUAUACUGUAUGCCAGAAGACCCUCCUCUCUGAUUGGUGGUUGUGAACAUUUCCUCCCCUCUGAUUGGUUGUUUUGUUGUUGGAACAUUUCCUCCUCUCUGAUUGGUCGUUUUGAACAUUUCCUCCUCUCUGAUUGGUCGUUUUGAACAUUUCCUCCUCUCUGAUUGGUCGUUUUGAACAUUUCCUCCU
rnacentral:lncRNA from 1 species